GACGAACCGAGCGAACGUUGUUCGGAAUCACUGGGCUUAAAGGGCGCGUAGGCGGCUUGCCAAGUCAGGGGUGAAAUCUUUCGGCUCAACCGGAAAAGUGCUUCUGAUACUGGCGGGCUGGAGGGGGGUAGGGGCAGAUGGAACUUCCGGUGGAGCGGUGAAAUGCGUAGAUAUCGGAAGGAACGCCGGUGGCGAAAGCGAUCUGCUGGACCCCUUCUGACGCUGAGGCGCGAAAGCCAGGGGAGCGAACGGG
rnacentral:rRNA from 1 species